rnacentral:rRNA from 1 species
AACGAACGCUGGCGGCAUGCCUAACACAUGCAAGUCGAACGAGACCUUCGGGUCUAGUGGCGCACGGGUGCGUAACGCGUGGGAAUCUGCCCUUGGGUUCGGAAUAACAGCGAGAAAUUGCUGCUAAUACCGGAUGAUGACGUAAGUCCAAAGAUUUAUCGCCCAAGGAUGAGCCCGCGUAGGAUUAGCUAGUUGGUGAGGUAAAGGCUCACCAAGGCGACGAUCCUUAGCUGGUCUGAGAGGAUGAUCAGCCACACUGGGACUGAGACACGGCCCAGACUCCUACGGGAGGCAGCAGUGGGGGAAUAUUGGACAAUGGGCGAAAGCCUGAUCCAGCAAUGCCGCGUGAGUGAUGAAGGCCUUAGGGUUGUAAAGCUCUUUUACCCGGGAUGAUAAUGACAGUACCGGGAGAAUAAGCUCCGGCUAAACUCCGUGCCAGCAGCCGCGGUAAU